UGGGGAAUAUUGCACAAUGGAGGGAACUCUGAUGCAGCGACGCCGCGUGAACGAAGAAGGCUUUCGAGUCGUAAAGUUCUUUUAUAUGGGAAGAUAAUGACGGUACCAUAAGAAAAAGCCCCGGCUAACUACGUGCCAGCAGCCGCGGUAAUACGUAGGGGGCUAGCGUUGUCCGGAAUCACUGGGCGUAAAGGGUUCGCAGGCGGAAAUGCAAGUCAGGUGUAAAAGGCAGUAGCUUAACUACUGUAAGCAUUUGAAACUGCAUAUCUUGAGAAGAGUAGAGGUAAGUGGAAUGUUUAGUGUAGCAGUGAAAUGCGUAGAUAUUAAAAAGAAUACCGGUGGCGAAGGCGACUUACUGGGCUCAUUCUGACGCUGAGGAACGAAAGCGUGGGUAGCAAACAGG
rnacentral:rRNA from 1 species